AUUUAUAUAGUUUAUAAAAACAUUACAUUUUCAUUGUAAAAUUAGAAAAUUUUCUUAUAAAUA
rnacentral:tRNA from 3 species